rnacentral:rRNA from 1 species
GUGGGGAAUAUUGGACAAUGGGCGAAAGCCUGAUCCAGCCAUGCCGCGUGUGUGAAGAAGGUCUUCGGAUUGUAAAGCACUUUAAGUUGGGAGGAAGGGCAGUAAGUUAAUACCUUGCUGUUUUGACGUUACCGACAGAAUAAGCACCGGCUAACUUCGUGCCAGCAGCCGCGGUAAUACGAAGGGUGCAAGCGUUAAUCGGAAUUACUGGGCGUAAAGCGCGCGUAGGUGGUUUUGUAAGUUGAAGGUGAAAUCCCCGGGCUCAACCUGGGAACUGCCUCCAAAACUGCAUGACUAGAGUACGGUAGAGGGUAGUGGAAUUUCCUGUGUAGCGGUGAAAUGCGUAGAUAUAGGAAGGAACACCAGUGGCGAAGGCGACUACCUGGACUGAUACUGACACUGAGGUGCGAAAGCGUGGGGAGCAAACAGGAUUAGAAACCCCAGUAGUCC